CGCAUCUGUGCAUGCAGCAUAUCAAUAAGCGGAGGAAAAGAAACUAACAAGGAUUCCCUUAGUAACGGCGAGUGAAGCGGGAAGAGCUCAAAUUUGAAAUCUUCAAGGUUUUACCUUGACGAAUUGUAGUUUAAAGAAGUGUUUUCUGUUGAAGUUUUGGUAAAAGUUCUUUGGAAUAGGACAUCAUAGAGGGUGAGAAUCCCGUAUUUGACCAUUAUUUUCAGCUGUGUGAUACACUUUCAAAGAGUCGGAUUGUUUGGGAAUGCAGUCCAAAAUGGGUGGUAAAUUUCAUCUAAAGCUAAAUAUUGGCGAGAGACCGAUAGCGAACAAGUACCGUGAGGGAAAGAUGAAAAGAACUUUGAAAAGAGAGUUAAACAGUACGUGAAAUUGUCAAAAGGGAAGCGUUUGACACCAGUGUUGUUUUUCCGAAAAUCAAUUACGAAUGGCUUGAUUUUGUGUUGUAUUGACCUUAUCAGCUUUCUUCACUUCUUUCGAGUCUUUCUUAAUGCACUUUUCGGUUAACAAGUCAACAUCAAUUUCUUUUGUUGUAAAAGAGUAUUCGGAAGGUGGCUUUCUUUUCGGAGAAAGUGUUUAUAGCCCUAUACUUCUACAAUCGGAGAGAUUGAGGUCUGCAGCGUAGAUCCUUCGGGGUUAGAUACAUUUGUGCUAAGUUGUAGCUUUUCAUAGACAACUUGUUGACUAUGUUUAGUCAUGCGGCUUACUCGCUUAUGCUAUUUUACCUACGCUUAGGAUGUUGAAGACUCUACAGAGAUA
rnacentral:rRNA from 1 species